UUCGAUCAAAAUUCCAAAAACACAAGAAAUUUAAGCGUUUUCAGCCAUUUGUUACCGUUUUACAUCAUAAAGAAUAGAUUAAUGGCAUUUCCAUUCAUUUUCGAGGGGUUUCAGAAAAUAACAUGUAUUGCCCCUUAUAGGCUGAACACCACUAAAUCCAGCUGUUCUUUAUUUCAUAUAAAAUCCACUCACUUCAUAACGGUGUUUCGAUAUUUUCUAGCAUAUCAGAUUUUCAGAGACUUAUAUUCCCAUAAAGAACUAGAUCGCUACUUUAGAAAAACAAAAAGAAUACUGAGUUUAAUCGCUAAAGAUUAAACUGUUUAUCUAGCACAAAAGAAUUAUUAGCUAAUUGGUUUUUAAUAUGAUGACGUAAUAUAAGGAGAAGAUUAGCACGCGCUUACAGCGCCCUCUAUAAUGAGCAGAUCAGCACGCGCUGGGAGCGUCCUCUUUCUCGCUGACUUCCAACGAAGGUAGACGUGCUUUUAGUGCUCUGUCAAACUAUUUCAAUUUAAGUCUCUAAAGAAAUAUUUAUAAGUUUAUAUUUUGUGAUGUAUUGAUGUAAACACUAUCUAAAUGUGUUAAGAAUAUAUUUUUUAAGUAAUUUGGUUGCACGUUUGAAAUAAAUUAAAUUAGUUUUUACAAUUAUAUUUCGUGGCACCACGACUUCAUUGAUACGGGAUAAAAAUUGCAUCAUAAUUUGUGAUUUAUGAUAAAUAAUAAGAGUAAAAUAACUGUGCAGUUAUUUAACAAUUUGAAUAAUAAUAAUAAUAAAACAGCAACAAAAUAAAAACAGUAAACAUACAAAUAGAUUCUAUAUAUUUUUUUUCUCUUUUACAUAUAUCUACACCAUGCCGAAAUCCAAACGUAAUAGAUCCUGACCUUGGCGGACCAGGUACAAAAAGAAGGCACGCACAAACCAGUGCCGGCUGAUAACGACGACGUCGGGCUGAUAAAAACUCAGCCACCGGCUUCAGCUAGUAUUUUGUUACAGACGUUAAAUGCCGCAUGAGCAGUACCGGAUACAUACCAGCUCCAACUCCACUUUGUCAUGGCUGGAUGCGUCAUAGAAAUGCAUACUUUCUAAAAAGAUAUAUUGAUCUACUUAUGGAAGAACAGAAAACAAUAUAUACAGACUAUACACUAUAUAGUUUAAAAGUUUUGCUUCCGUUGCCGGAGCAAAAAAGUGUGGAAUAAUCUAGUGAAUUAACAAAAAAAAAUUAGCUGCAAGAUUUAUGACAUUUGUUGGCGUUUUUAACGCAUAAAAAUCCGCUCUGCUACCGUUUCCGGAGCAGAAUUUUAGGUACAAAGACUUCUAGAUUAUCAUCAUUGCAUUUAUUCAUAAAGUUAUUCAAAAUUAUAUAUUCACAGCCAUGGCCAAUAUAUGCCACUAUCUAAGAAUAAAUUUCAUCAAACUUUA